UAUCUCUGUAGAGUCUGCAUAUCAAUAAGCGGAGGAAAAGAAACUAACUAGGAUUCCCUUAGUAACGGCGAGUGAAGCGGGAAGAGCUCAAAUUUGAAAUCUUCAAGGUUUUACCUUGACGAAUUGUAGUUUAAAGAAGUGUUUUCUGUUGGAGUUUUGGUAAAAGUUCUUUGGAAUAGGACAUCAUAGAGGGUGAGAAUCCCGUAUUUGACCACUUAUUUCCAACUUUGUGAUACACUUUCAAAGAGUCGGAUUGUUUGGGAAUGCAGUCCAAAAUGGGUGGUAAAUUUCAUCUAAAGCUAAAUACUGGCGAGAGACCGAUAGCGAACAAGUACCGUGAGGGAAAGAUGAAAAGAACUUUGAAAAGAGAGUUAAACAGUACGUGAAAUUGUCAAAAGGGAAGCGUUUGACACCAGUGUUGUUUUCUCGAAAAUCAAUUAAAAAUGAUUGGGAUUUUGUGUUGUAUUGACUUUAUCAGCUUUCUGCACUCUUUUCCUUGUCUUUUUUAAUGCACUUUUCGUUUAACAAGUCAACAUCAAUUUCUUUUGUUGUAAAAGGGUCAUUGGAAGGUGGCUUUCUUUUCGGAGAAAGUGUUUAUAGCCUUUGACCUUCUGCAAUCGGAGAGAUUGAGGUCUGCAGCGUAGAUCCUUCGGGGUUAGAUGCAUUUGUGCUAAGUUAUAGCCUUUCAUAGACAACUUGUUGACUAUGAUCAGUCAUGUAGCUUACUCGCUUAUGCUAUUUUACCUACGCUUAGGAUGUUGAUCUCUCACAGUCGAGC
rnacentral:rRNA from 1 species